rnacentral:rRNA from 1 species
AUUGAACGCUGGCGGCAGGCCUAACACAUGCAAGUCGAACGAGUGGCGGACGGGUGAGUAAUGUCUGUGAAACUGCCUGAUGGGGGGGGAUAACUACUGGAAACGGUAGCUAAUACCGCAUACACUCGGAUGUGCCCAGAUGAGAGUAGCUAGUCGGGGGGGUAAAGGCUCACCUAGGCGACGAUCCCUAUCUGGUCUGAGAGGAUGACCAGCCACACUGGAACUUAGACACGGUCAGGACUCCUACGGGAGGCAGCAGUGGGGAAUAUUGCACAAUGGGCGCAAGCCUGAUGCAGCCAUGCCGCGUGUAUGAAGAAGGCCUUCGGGUUGUAAAGUACUUUCAGCGGGGAGGCGUUACCCGCAGAGGAAGCACCGGCUAACUCCGUGCCAGCAGCCGCGGUAAUUC